UUCCGUAGGUGAACCUGCGGAAGGAUCAUUAAAAAAUUCUGCCAUUGUUUGGUGGAAACAAUAAUCAUCCUACCUUUGUGAAUUUGUUGUUGUAGUAAUUUUUAAAGAAAAUUAUUUACUGUCAUUCCUGGAUAGUAAAGUGGAAGGAGUAAUCUAGAAAACUUUGCUUUCAGGGAAUAGUAUGUAAUAAUUUUUCAUUUAAAGACCUUUUUUAAAUAAACUUUGUAUUCAUUGUCUAAAAUUUAUUUUUAAAUAAUUUAAAAACACUUUUGACAAUGGAUCUCUGGUUCUCGCAACGAUGAAGAACGCAGCAAAUGCGAUAAGUAGUGUGAAUUGCAGAAUACGUGAAUCAUCAAAUCUUCGAACGCAUAUUGCACUUUUUAGUUACUAAAAAGUAUGUCUGUUUGAGUAUCAGUAAAUAUUCUCAAUAACUUUUUGUUUAUUGGUUAUGAGUGUUUUACAACGAUACAAGUUGUUCACUUUAAAUUGACUUAUAUAACCUAUCCAUUAGGUCAAUUUUAAAUUGGAUAAAAUUUCCUGCAAAAGGAAUAACUUGACAGUUUAAAGAAAGAUCUAAAAGGUUUUCUUAAAAGAAAUUUAUAAUAAACUACUGAUCUCAAUCAGAUAAGAGUACCGCUGAACUUAAGCAUAUCAUAAGCGGAGGAAAAGAAACUAACAAGGAUUCCCUAGUAACGGCGAGUGAAGCGGGAGAGCUCAAAUUUGAAAUCUCAAGGUUUCCCUUGACGAAUUGUAGUUUAUAGAAGUGUUUUCUGUAGAGAGUGGUAAAGUCUUUGGAAUAGGACAUCAUAGAGGUGAAAUCCCGUAUUGAUCACUUUCUACUACGUUGUGAUACACUUUCAACGAGUCGGAUGUUUGGGAAUGCAGUCCAAAAUGGGUGGUAAAUUUCAUCUAAAGCUAAAUAUUGGCGAGAGACCGAUAGCGAACAAGUACCGUGAGGAAAGAUGAAAAGAACUUUGAAAAGAGAGUUAAACAGUACGUGAAUGUCAAAGGGAAGCGUUUGACACCAGUGUUGUUUUUCCGAAAAUCAAUUACGAAUGCGGGAUUCAAGUUCAUGACCUUAAAAGCUGUUUCUUUCUUUCCUGUCUUCUUAAUGCACUUUCGGUUAACAAGUCAACAUCAAUUCUUUGUUGCAAAGGUUAAGAGGAAGGUGGCUUUACUUUCGGUAAAGUGUUUAUAGCCUUUUAACUCUGCAAUCGAGAGAUUGAGGUCUGCAGCGUAGAUCCUCGGGCUAGAUACGUUGUGCUAGUUAUAGCUUUUCAUAGACACUUGUUGACUAUGUUAGUCUUGUAGCUUACUCGCAAUACUAUU
rnacentral:misc_RNA from 1 species